UGGGGCGUGGCCAAAUGGUAAGGCAACGGACUUUGAAUCCGCGUACUGUAGGUUCGACUCCUACCGCCCCAG
rnacentral:tRNA from 1 species